UUGAGAGUGUCUCUUGGGCAGCUUCCGGUGGACUGGGGCUUAGGCUUGGGUUUAGGGGUUGGACUGCAGCCACCGCCACAUGCGGUGGUCAAGGUGAAGAAGAGGAUGCUGAAUGUGAGGAAAAUGACAAGGGAUGCUGAGGUUUUCGAAGCCAUCUCUCGAAAUAUGUAUAUUUCUAUUUUAAGUAAGAAGUUUGAAGAUAAGAGUGUUCCUAAAAGAGAGUGGUGAAGAUAAAUGAAGAGAAGGUGUAUGUAUAUAUAUUAGGGUUUUAAGGGGUUGUACAGUUAAUUAAAGCUGUCAUUGCUAAAUGAUUUUGAGGAAUUAUUAGACGAAUAUAUAUUUUAGUAACAAUAGUCAGUGGAUCUUUGUAUUAUUAAGUGGUUAAUAUAUAUUUCAUUUUUUUAUUACAUUGUGAAACAAAUGUUAAAUCAUGGAUAGAAGCAAUUUACUAAAUUAAUUAGGACCCUAUUGUGCUGUCAUAAUUUUUUUUAUUUUUCAAAAGUUUAUUAGUUGAGUAGUUAUAAAUGUUUUCGUUUUUCAUCUAUACAGAAUACAGUUUCAAAAGAUACAAAUAUAUAUAUAUAUAUAUAUAUAUAUAUAUAUAUAUAUAUAUAUAUAUAUAUAUAUAAUAGUAAGAUUCUAAAACAGUCGAAAUACUUUUCCUUUGUUGAAUUGUAAAACAAUCGAUUUUUUUUAGAAUCUUAGCUUAAAUUCAUAUUUGUCGGCUGUAUAUUAUUUUUCUCAGUUUAUAUAUUUUGUGAUUUUGAUUUAUCUACCCUAAUUAGUAUUUUUCCGUAACUUACUUGUGGAGUACAUUUUAUAGACUAUCGACUCAUAUUUUAUGUUAGUCGAAGUAAUACACUUUAUUUUGGUCGACUUGAUUACCAUUUAUUUUGGGCUAUUGAUUGAAUUCAGGUAAAUCGAAAACAUAAACACGAAUUGCUCGUUAGAAGUGUUCAUUAAUUAAAAAUUAGUUUCGACUAUGAAAAAUAUAUAUACCUUUUUAUAUCCGAAACUUUCAGAUUAUAAGAAAAUCAGACUAUAAUCGAUGCACAUGUGAUCAAUAAUUACUCAUAUUUCCCAUGUGUAGCCCCGAAUGUGAUUUACAGGCUUUAGCUGGCGAUUGUGUUUGGAGGUUAAUUAGUAAUUUGGAAGUGUAUGACUACUGACUUUCAAAUUUCAGUUAUUGGCUUUACCCUUCACAUUUUAUUUUUGGGAAAUUAGCAACUAUAGCAAGAAAAACAACAACUAUAAUUCAUCAAAUAACAACAAUAGAAUUCUUAUGACAAAUAGCUUUGGGUACUUUGACACUAACGUCAGGUUUAACUCAACGUGGAAUAAACCAUUAAUCAUUAUUCUAAUUUAGUGUUCGCAUCUUAUUAACCCUUGGUAAUUUUCUCGACGAGCUAAUUAACAAAAUAGGGAUUUCUUCUUUAGGCGAAUUCUGUCUCAGCUAAGAAAGAAUGAGGGAUAUUACAGUUUUCCAUGAAUUAUCUAGUUUCUAUGGAAAAGUAAAAAUAAACUACGAAAAUAUACCAAAAAACUAUACUAGAGCCCUCAAGUUUUUUGAAUCAUAUUAUUAGUGAUCACAGUUUGGAUGGCAGCUCAAAUUAGCCCAACUAAGGAUAUCAAGAACAGAUUUAAUCUGGAUAUGAAUUAUCGUUCUUAAGAUGUCAAGGUCAUGAUUCGUCGAAACUAUAACGCCUCCACCGUCAUUGUAUGUCGUCCCAUGCUUUCUUUCGACCCGUAGAUUCUACCCCCAUCCGACGGUUAGUGCAUUAUUCGAUGAAAUUUAAUUUUUUUACUCUCCAUACAUAUGACUACUAAAUAUUUGUCGUGUUUCGUCCUUACUCACACGGUACCCAAAAUUACUUUCUGGUAGGUCAACAAUCUUGAAAUCGAUGUAUCUCAAACACGUUUAACUGAAAAUCGGUAAACAUGAUUAGCGAAAAAGAUAAAUGCACUAAGUAGGUAGCCAAAUCAAAUUUAAAUUUUCGUAUAUAUGCACCAGCAUAUCUUCAAAAAUAGGGGUGUUACAACCACCUUGCUACCAUAUCGCAAUGUCAUUAACUCAUUAUCAUGUACCAAGACUGUUACUCCAAGUCCAACGGUGUCAAUGUGCAUGUCUUCACACUCGUCCGGGUUUGGCUCUAAUACCAUUUAUUAUGUUUCGGCUACCAUCUUAUGUGCUUCUCUAUGCCCUCUCUGGGGCCGUGGACCAAUCUUUGUCCAACGAGAGGCCUUAAAAUACAUGUUUGAUGUUCCUCCUCACUAAGAUGGUAUUUGAAAUCAUUUUUCCUCGGGUCACAUAUCCUAAAAAUCGGUACAGUUUAAGCAUGCUUAAGUCUAGAAUUAUGUCAGAAUGAUUGACAAAAAAAAUACGUAUAUUUUGGUGACAUAGAUAGUCUAUCAAUUUUUUUAAGUUUCUUCGCAUGUACUACCAUAUUUUCAUAAAUCUCUAAAAUAUAUAAUAUAAUAAAACAGACGGAGUAGUAUAAAGCUUUGAAAAGUUAGCAGAAAUCAUAGUUUGCAUUUCAAAAUCAAUAUCAAUAACUUAAUUUAAUUAUUGCCAAUUGAUUCUGAAUUGAAAAUUCUUUCAUCCUCAUACGGUAUUAAAAUCUUAACAAGCCAAAUGGAUAAAAACUGAUCCGAACAGAUGAUUAAGUUCGGUAUUAGAUGAAUGAGCCAAAGAGCCAUUUUCUCGAAAUGAUAACAUAUCCCACAUUAGAAAUGAGUAUUGACCACUAGUAGAUAAAGAAUAUUAGUUAAUCAAUUACUACCAACUAGUUUUGCAAUUAUUUUUAAUUUGGAUCUUCAGAUAUUUCAUAUUGUCUUUUAUUUUAUUUAUUAAAUAGAAUUCUUGUAUUUUUUAACAAACAUUUAAGUAUUGUUAAUCUUUAUAAAAAUAAUUCCAGGGUUAAACUUUUCUAGUAUGUAUGUAUAUUUCAAUGGAUAGAUUAGGUAGACAGAGAUUCGUGCUCUUGUGAUCGUUAGAAUAAAAUAAAUUAAUGUAAUACUUUCUGAGGAGAUGCCGAAACAAGAAGCUGAUUAUGAUAAUACUUUAAGAAUCUUAUUUUUGAGCUAAUUAAUUUAAAAUGUAAACAGUACAAGAAGUAGAGGCAGCACUUAUUCGAUGAACAACUGAAAAAAAAAGAGAAUUCAAAGAAUCUUAAUCAAAGAUAAAACAUCAAAAGAUAAGUUAAAAAAUAUGACCAAGGUGGAUAGAUAAAUCAAGCACAUACGAAUCCAGAAGGAACCUUCCUGCCACAAACAUUGAGAAGAAGGCUGAGAGAGACUGGAACAUUAAGCUUAUUGCCUAAGACAUUAGCCUUUAGGGCGGUGCAGAGACAAGCCGCAGCCUCAAGAUCAACCAGACCCUUAAGGAGGGAGCAGCAAGGCUUGACUGGUGGUGUGCCCAACUGGAUUUUGAGAAGAUCCUUGAGGACAUUGGCGCAAACGCCAAGCUUGAGAGUGUCUCUUGGGCAGCUUCCGGUGGACUUGGGCUUAGGCUUGGGUUUAGGGGUUGGACUGCAGCCACCGCCACAUGCGGUGGUCAAGGUGAAGAAGAGGAUGUUGAAUGUGAGGAAAAUGACAAGGGAUGCUGAGGUUUUCGAAGCCAUCUUUCGAUAUAUAUAUUUCUAUUUUAGGUAAGAAGUUUUAUGAUAGAAG
rnacentral:lncRNA from 1 species